rnacentral:lncRNA from 1 species
GGUUUUUCUUUCCUUCCAGAUCAACGCUUUGGAUUCUGCCAAAAGGUUCCAGUUUAACCCUUAAACUCUGUGAUUUAAAAGUGAAGCUGAUGAAAUAAGACCUUUCAAAACACCAACCCUCAACCUUCCAGAAAGCGGAGCCGCCAGAACGUCGCUUCAAUGACCGGACGUGAAGCUGAACCAUCUCUACAAUCUCCUAAGAGCUGCAGAUAAUGAAAAAAUCUCAGGUGAGCUUUCUUUAUUCUCCACAUUUAUUGAAAUGGAUUUAGGACGUUUAUAAGGUCCAUACAUUAAUU